AACGAAGCACCUUAGACAGAAGCCUUCGGGUGGAAGACUUUGGUGACUUAGUGGCGGACGGGUGAGUAACGCGUGGGUAACCUGCCCUGUACUGGGGGACAACAGUUGGAAACGACUGCUAAUACCGCAUAAGCGCACAGCAUCGCAUGAUGCAGUGUGAAAAACUCCGGUGGUACAGGAUGGACCCGCGUCUGAUUAGCUAGUUGGUGAGGUAACGGCUUACCAAGGCAACGAUCAGUAGCCGACUUGAGAGAGUGAUCGGCCACAUUGGGACUGAGACACGGCCCAAACUCCUACGGGAGGCAGCAGUGGGGAAUAUUGCACAAUGGGGGAAACCCUGAUGCAGCGACGCCGCGUGAAGGAAGAAGUAUUUCGGUAUGUAAACUUCUAUCAGCA
rnacentral:rRNA from 1 species